GACGAACGCUGGCGGUGUGCUUAACACAUGCAAGUCGAACGGAAAGGCCCUGCUUUUGUGGGGUGCUCGAGUGGCGAACGGGUGAGUAACACGUGAGUAACCUGCCCUUGACUUUGGGAUAACUUCAGGAAACUGGGGCUAAUACCGGAUAGGAGCUCCUGCUGCAUGGUGGGGGUGGGAAAGUUUCGGCGGUUGGGGAUGGACUCGCGGCUUAUCAGCUUGUUGGUGGGGUAGUGGCUUACCAAGGCUUUGACGGGUAGCCGGCCUGAGAGGGUGACCGGCCACAUUGGGACUGAGAUACGGCCCAGACUCCUACGGGAGGCAGCAGUGGGGAAUAUUGCACAAUGGGCGGAAGCCUGAUGCAGCAACGCCGCGUGCGGGAUGACGGCCUUCGGGUUGUAAACCGCUUUCGCCUGUGACGAAGCGUGAGUGACGGUAAUGGGUAAAGAAGCACCGGCUAACUACGUG
rnacentral:rRNA from 1 species